UAAACAUUGACCGGAGGUUUGGAGAGUUUUUUCCAGGUACAAAAAUCCCCAGUGCCUUGUGUAGUGCCUAUAUCAAACCGCCCCCGUCAUUUCUCCAUUCCAGUUUGCCUUGCCCUAAACAACAACUGCAAAACAAAACCACCGCCAACCACAAGUCAUUCUUCUAUGCGGCAGUCCGGCAGCACACUCACAAGGGUGGGAUCAAGUCGUAUGGCCACGUGGUCCAGACUACCGUUACCGUAUAUAAGAAUUUCUACAACCACAGCAGCCUUUGCCGCCGAUGUUGACGAUGGAGCCACAACACAACUGAUAUUUGAACCAAACUGAAAUAAUGAUAAUAAUAAAGGAUUGUUUGCUUCUUGUCA